rnacentral:rRNA from 1 species
GAUCCUGGCUCAGAUUGAACGCUGGCGGCAGGCUUAACACAUGCAAGUCGAACGGUAACAGGAGAGAGCUUGCUUUCUUGCUGACGAGUGGCGGACGGGUGAGUAAUGCUUGGGAAUCUGGCUUAUGGAGGGGGAUAACGACGGGAAACUGUCGCUAAUACCGCGUAGAGUCGAGAGACGAAAGUGCGGGACCGCAAGGCCGUAUGCCAUAGGAUGAGCCCAAGUGGGAUUAGGUAGUUCGG